GUGUCAACCAUUAUUGGCAUGUUUAAUAUAUUACAAAUCAGUGUGCGAACUAGUUUCCAAAUGUUGUUACCCAGUCGGGCUGCCUAUGCCUGAAAUUUACUAGCCCACAAAAUAAUUCACUAGCCCGAAAUUUGAAUGUAGAAACUGAGCAAAAGAAUUGCA